UACGUAGGGAGCAAGCGUUGUUCGGAUUUACUGGGCGUAAAGGGCGCGUAGGCGGCGCGGUAAGUCACUUGUGAAAUCUCUGAGCUUAACUCAGAACGGCCAAGUGAUACUGCAGUGCUAGAGUGCAGAAGGGGCAAUCGGAAUUCUUGGUGUAGCGGUGAAAUGCGUAGAUAUCAAGAGGAACACCUGAGACGAAGGCGGGUUGCUAGGCUGACACUGACGCUGAGGAGCGAAAGCGUGGGGAGCGAACAGG
rnacentral:rRNA from 1 species